UGUGUAAAAUAAAAAAUAAAUAAAAAUAUAUUCCUCUGCUCCUUGAAAAAUGCGUAUAAACUAUUAAAUAUUUUUUAUAAGAACACUUCUUGUUAAAAUUUUUAUGAACAAGUUCGGUUCUCCACAUGCUGAAUUGAAUGGAAAAUGUUGAAUCAAAGAAGUUGGGAAGUAAUCAAAAUGCUUCAUAUAAAUAUGUUGAUUCAUUGGUCAAUAUAAUUGAUAAUAAUGAUGUAUCAUUAAUAAUCGAAAAUCAAGCAGUUAUUUUAGAACGUUUUGAAAAAUCAGAUGAAAUGCUUGCCAAUUUAAAUAGCUUAUUAAAAUCACGAUACGAUAUUACGAUGUUACAAAUUAGAAAACAUGCCAACAUUUUAAUAUUAAUUAGAAAAGAUUUAGAAUAUAUUCAUAAAAAAAUUAAAUCAAUUAAAUUAAAAUUGUCAUGAAAAUAUAUCCUCAGAUUACAAAAUUAUGUGAAUUUGAAUAAAUAUUUAUUACAAUUAAACAAUCUUAUAUUUACUAAUAUUUGGCCCAUUAAGAUGACAUAUUAAUCAGUCUUUAAUAGAUGAUUUAUUUUUGCCUAUGGACGCAAUGUUACCGAAAGAUGGAAGUUCAAGUUAUCAAGAAGCAAUGUAUAUAUUAAAAUGUUUUUGUAAUUAUAAAUAGGUAAAGGAGAUAUAUAAAACAUAUAGAUCAAAUAAUAUAUCUUAUCAUAAUAAAAAUUUUUAAUGUCAAAAUUAUAAAAAUAACCAUAAUAAUAAAAACUUGAAUAAAGAAUUAUGUAAAUUAAUACCAAAUGUUAAAAACGAAAUAAAUUCUUAUAAAUUAAAAGAAAUAAAUCUAUGAUAACAAUUGAAGAAAUAAUAGUGAUUAAAGACAAUAAUAAAAUAAAAAUUAAAAAAUAAUAAAAUAAAAACUUUUAUAAUUAAUAAAAAAACUUUGGAAAUAAAGAAAAUUAAAACAAAUAUUAAAAAGAGAGGCAAGGUAAUUAAAUAUCUUGAUGUUGAAAAAGUUUUUAAAUUGAGAUCGUAUGUUGAAAAUAGAAGGAAAAAGAGAAAUUUUUAUAAAGAACAAGUUGAAGAUAAAUUAUAUAAAAAAAUUGUUUAAAUUGAAAAAUAAAGGAGUAAAAUUAAAAAAAUAAAAAUAAUUGAAAUUGAAUAAUAAAUAAAAAAUUAUUAUAUAAAAUGCCACAAUUCAAAAUAUUCUAUUAUUCAAUAUCCCAAAUUAUGAUUAUUAUUCUUAUUCUAUGAAUGAAUCUGAUAAAUUAUUUAUUCCAUUAUCAUUUCAAUUAUUCCAAAAUUAUUUUAUUUGAGAUAUAUUGAUCAUAAUAUCUAUUUACAAACAUUGAUAAAUAAAUACAAAUGAUAAUAAAUAACGAGAUGAACAAGCUAAUGUGAGGAUGAUGUUCAAACGAAUGAUUAGACGAUAAGGAUAAUAAGCUACGAACAAACCAAUGAAAAAGAUAUGACUGAGGCUAAACAAUGAACAUAAUAUCAAAUGAAAAUUCUACAACAAAGUACAAAAAAUUUUAGAGGGGAAAGAAGUGAAUAAGUUCAAGUUCGAGGUCAAAAUUCACAAGUUCAAAGUCAAAUUCGAGAAUAUGACUUAAGACCUAGAAAAUGAUUGUUAUAAAUAAAUAAAUAAAAAAUAUAUAUAAAAAUUUGAAAGCGAAAUGGAAAUGGGAAGAUCAAUACAAACUGCAAAUCAACAACGAUGUUUUACAAAUGAUGUUCAACAAACGAUAAUUCGAUGGUCAAACAAACAAACUCAAGGCAUACUAACAAAUGACUAAUGGAGCAAUCGAGAAACAAAUGACGAAUGGUAAAGAGGAGAAACUGAAGAAAGAAGUCACUUAAAAAAAGGGAAAUGUUAAAUAUAUUUUUAAUGUUAAAAUUAUUCGUACGACCUCUUGUACUUUUUCUUUUUGUAAAAUAUAUUAUGACCUUAUUGUACUUUUCUUUUUUUAUAUAUGUUAAAAUAACUUUUCUUAAUAUAACCUUAAAAUAUACAAUAUUGUUAAAAUAAUAAUAUAUAUAUAGUUGUAAAAAGAUAUAAUA